rnacentral:rRNA from 1 species
UACGUAGGGUGCAAGCGUUGUCCGGAAUUAUUGGGCGUAAAGAGCUCGUAGGCGGCUUGUCACGUCGGUUGUGAAAACCUGGGGCUCAACCCCGGGCCUGCAGCCGAUACGGGCAAGCUAGAAUUCGGUAGGGGAGACUGGAAUUCCUGGUGUAGCGGUGAAAUGCGCAGAUAUCAGGAGGAACACCGGUGGCGAAGGCGGUUCUCUGGGCCGUACCUGACGCUGAGGAGCGAAAGCGUGGGGAGCGAACAGG